rnacentral:rRNA from 1 species
UACGUAGGGUGCAAGCGUUAAUCGGAAUUACUGGGCGUAAAGCGUGCGCAGGCGGUUUUGUAAGUCUGACGUGAAAUCCCCGGGCUUAACCUGGGAAUUGCGUUGGAGACUGCAAGGCUGGAGUCUGGCAGAGGGGGGUAGAAUUCCACGUGUAGCAGUGAAAUGCGUAGAGAUGUGGAGGAACACCGAUGGCGAAGGCAGCCCCCUGGGUCAAGACUGACGCUCAUGCACGAAAGCGUGGGGAGCAGACAGG